GGAAAAGUGGAAGGAAGUGACGAGGCUGAACAAUAUCACUUGCUUCAAUUCGGCUGGGAGGGAUCAGCUACCUUUCAGUUCCUAUUAAGUGAAUUCAGUUUUAGGGCCCAUGAGCAUUUUCCCAAAAGAUUCCUUUAGAUCCGGCCCCUCCCCUCUUUUAGUUAGACUGACCUCAGGUGGAAUUACAAGUGUCCCCAGUCCGCUCAGCGCUGUUAGUAGGAUUUGGCAUCCAUCCCCUAUUCGCGCGGGACCCCCCCCUCACCAGCGUAUCCCUACCUGUUGGAUAGGUCUUACUUCCUGGAAACACCUGCUGUCCUUACAAGGGGAGCAGCCGUCGCCUUAGAAUCCUAGUCUGUCCUUUCCUGGUGAAGGGGGGCGCCUGUGCUUAAGUGCUGGCUUAGCCACCAGAAGUGUCCAGCAGGAUUCAAUAGCCCUGAAGUGGGUAGCCUUAUUCCAACCCCAGUCCUGUUUAGCGGGGCUUCCACACUCUGAGAACCACCGAGAAGCUCUUGGCCAGCCCUGGAGCAACCGGUCAAUUCUAGGGGCCUCCUCGCCCGGUUCGGCGUCCUGGGCACGCGGCAGCGGGACAGGACGCCUUGUGCCCACGGACCGACGCCGGCUGCCAGUCCGACUGCGGCUGACACUCCCGCCGUGGCCGCUGCUGCAAACCGGUCUGGCUUCCCUGCAGGGCGUGCGGGGAUGGAGCGAGGGGGUGGAGAGAAAGGGGAAGAGCCUGGGCGGCCGGCGGGCGGGGCCUGCAGCCUCCCGGAGCCGCGGCAGCCGCCGAGCAGCCUGCUCUCUCCGCGCCUCUCUCCGACUCCGGUGCGCGCUGCGCGGGGACCCGCGCCCGAGCCCGGGGGGCGCCGCGGCUCCUCGGCCUCUGUCCCCGGACUCGCCUCGCCUAGGCUGCGCCCGGACGCAGAGCUGCUGGCCUUUGGGGGCCGCCCGCUGCUCUAUCUGGCCAGAGGACCGACGGGGAAGGAAGGGGAAAGCGGGGACACACACACUCGCCGGGCGCGCGCGCAUUGCACACUCGCAGCCGCGCGCCCCCGCCGAGGCGCGGCCGGGGCGAGUUUGGCCCCGCGGCUUCGGGCCCGGCACCUGCCCGCCCCCGGCACGGUCCCCGGGCCCCGCCCCGCCGACCCUCCCGCCCCUCGCCUGCGCUGCUGUCCCUUCGCCCGGGAAAGCGACAACAUCCCGACAACUUACAGGCUGUGGCGCAACUGGUCUGGACCGCCGAGGCUCCUGAAGGCUGCCCGGGUGAGGAAGAAGUCCCCGGAAAGUACUCCUGAGCUUGGAUUGGAGGACUCAUUUUGCUCCUUUGAUGAAGCCCGUCCAUCCGGAGAUGGAGAUGUUCCUCUUGUGCAGUGGUGAGGCUGGAGUGUUCUGCAGUUGUUGGGAGUGGAGAAAAAUCAAAGGAUUGGUUUCAUUGGGACUCCAGUGUUCAUGGAAGCUUUCAGAACAUUCCCAGUGAAAGGAACUCCUCCAAAAACCCUUUCCAGCUAAACCCAAGCUGGGAAGGUUGAGUCUCAGGUGUUACGUGUGAUCUCUGAGCUGACAGAAAUAGUGGGUUUUGUACAGUAGUAGAGACCUAUGAGGAUGAUGAGAACUGUGGCAAGUCUUAGCUUGAUAUGUGAUCAUGUCUUACUUGGGAAGGAAAAGAGAAAAGCACUGAAUGAUAACCACAUUAUGUUUUUUCCAAAUUAAGAUGACUAGAGGGAUUAGGUAAUAACGCCUUACAUUUUCAUCAGUGUCUUGCAAAUUUUAAAUGCUUUGCAGCAAUCGCACCGAAUUCCAGCCAUUUCUGAGGGAGGCAAGACAAAGAUGAUUAUCACAUAUUUACAGGAGGAAUGGAAGGCUCAGUUUCCGGGAUUUAUUAAGGUAAUAAGUGGUCAGUUUUAGUGUCAUAGCCAGGUUUGCUGUCAUAGCUCAGUGCCAGCUCUGUACCUGCAUAUGGUUCUGUUUUGUUUUCUUCAAUGACCAGAUAGUGCCUCCAUUUACUGUGGGCAGUACAGUCUCCUUGUGAAUUACUGUUCUCAUCUCGCAGAUGAGGAAACCGAGGAUCAGACAAAUGAGGGCGUUUUCCAUGUUAUUAUAUCUUCUUUAGUGGAGUUUAUAAAAUAGAACUCAUUUCCUGAUGUCUGUUUUCCUCACUUUGUGUUUUCUGCCAUUGUCUCAAUUCUGGUAGCAAUGGAUCCCUGCACUACACCAGGGUAUUAGAGGCAGCAUAGAUAGAGUCUGUUUGGUGAUCUGGAUUCUAGUUCUAGUACAACAUGUGUGCCAAAUCAUAUAUAUAUAUAUAUAUAUAUAUAUAUAUUUUUUUUUUUUUUUUUUUUUUUUUUUUUGGUGUGAUUGG
rnacentral:lncRNA from 1 species